GAUGAACGCUGGCGGCGUGCUUAACACAUGCAAGUCGAACGAACCUUCGGGUUAGUGGCGGACGGGUGAGUAACGCGUGAGAAUCUGCCCUCAGGAGGGGGAUAACGGUUGGAAACGACCGCUAAUACCCCAUAUGCCGCGAGGUGAAAUGAAUUUCGCCUGAGGAUGAGCUCGCGUCUGAUUAGCUAGUUGGUGGGGUAAAGGCUUACCAAGGCAUCGAUCAGUAGCUGGUCUGAGAGGAUGAUCAGCCACACUGGGACUGAGACACGGCCCAGACUCCUACGGAAGGCAGCAGUGGGGAAUUUUCCGCAAUGGGCGAAAGCCUGACGGAGCAACGCCGCGUGAGGGAUGAAGGCCUCUGGGCUGUAAACCUCUUUUAUCAAGGAAGAAGAUCUGACGGUACUUGAUGAAUAAGCCACGGCUAAUUCCGUGCCAGCAGCCGCGGUAAUACGGGAGUGGCAAGCGUUAUCCGGAAUUAUUGGGCGUAAAGCGUCCGCAGGCGGCCCUUCAAGUCUGCUGUUAAAAAGUGGAGCUUAACUCCAUCAUGGCAGUGGAAACUGUUGGGCUUGAGUGUGGUAGGGGCAGAGGGAAUUCCCGGUGUAGCGGUGAAAUGCGUAGAUAUCGGGAAGAACACCAGUGGCGAAGGCGCUCUGCUGGGCCAUCACUGACGCUCAUGGACGAAAGCCAGGGGAGCGAAAGGGAUUAGAUACCCCUGUAGUCCUGGCCGUAAACGAUGAACACUAGGUGUCGGGGGAAUCGACCCCCUCGGUGUCGUAGCCAACGCGUUAAGUGUUCCGCCUGGGGAGUACGCACGCAAGUGUGAAACUCAAAGGAAUUGACGGGGGCCGCACAAGCGGUGGAGUAAUGUGGUUUAAUUCGAUGCAACGCGAAGAACCUUACCAGGGUUUGACAUCCUGCGAAUCUCUUGGAAACGA
rnacentral:rRNA from 1 species